AACCUAGCGGCGGACGGGUGAGUAAUGCUUAGGAAUCUGCCUAUUAGUGGGGGACAACAUUCCGAAAGGAAUGCUAAUACCGCAUACGCCCUACGGGGGAAAGCAGGGGAUCUUCGGACCUUGCGCUAAUAGAUGAGCCUAAGUCGGAUUAGCUAGUUGGUGGGGUAAAGGCCUACCAAGGCGACGAUCCGUAGCUGGUCUGAGAGGAUGAUCAGCCACACUGGGACUGAGACACGGCCCAGACUCCUACG
rnacentral:rRNA from 1 species